rnacentral:rRNA from 1 species
UGCAGUCGAGCGGACAGAUGGGAGCUUGCUCCCUGAUGUUAGCGGCGGACGGGUGAGUAACACGUGGGUAACCUGCCUGUAAGACUGGGAUAACUCCGGGAAACCGGGGCUAAUACCGGAUGCUUGUUUGAACCGCAUGGUUCAAACAUAAAAGGUGGCUUCGGCUACCACUUACAGAUGGACCCGCGGCGCAUUAGCUAGUUGGUGAGGUAACGGCUCACCAAGGCAACGAUGCGUAGCCGACCUGAGAGGGUGAUCGGCCACACUGGGACUGAGACACGGCCCAGACUCCUACGGGAGGCAGCAGUAGGGAAUCUUCCGCAAUGGACGAAAGUCUGACGGAGCAACGCCGCGUGAGUGAUGAAGGUUUUCGGAUCGUAAAGCUCUGUUGUUAGGGAAGAACAAGUACCGUUCGAAUAGGGCGGUACCUUGACGGUACCUAACCAGAAAGCCACGGCUAACUACGUGCCAGCAGCCGCGGUAAUACGUAGGUGGCAAGCGUUGUCCGGAAUUAUUGGGCGUAAAGGGCUCGCAGGCGGUUUCUUAAGUCUGAUGUGAAAGCCCCCGGCUCAACCGGGGAGGGUCAUUGGAAACUGGGGAACUUGAGUGCAGAAGAGGAGAGUG